rnacentral:rRNA from 1 species
GUCUAUGGUCAUGCCACCUUGAGGGCGUUCAAUCUCGUCUGAUCUUGAAAGCUAAAUAGAGUCAGGCCUGGUUAGUACUUGGAUGGGAGACUUCCUGGAAAUACUGUGUGAUGUAGGCU